AACGCACAUUGCGCCCCCUGGCAUUCCGGGGGGCAUGCCUGUCCGAGCGUCAUUUCUGCCCUCAAGCACGGCUUGUGUGUUGGGUGCGGUCCCCCCGGGGACCUGCCCGAAAGGCAGCGGCGACGUCCGUCCGGUCCUCGAGCGUAUGGGGCUUUGUCACUCGCUCGGGAAGGACCUGCGGGGGUUGGUCACCACCAUAUUUUACCACGGUUGACCUCGGAUCAGGUAGGAGUUACCCGCUGAACUUAA
rnacentral:misc_RNA from 1 species